GGUGGCUCAAUGUUAGAGUGCUUGCCUUGCAUGCAUGAGGCCCUGGGUUCGAUUCCUCAGUACCA
rnacentral:tRNA from 1 species